rnacentral:rRNA from 1 species
UACGUAGGUGACCAGCGUUGUCCGGAUUUACUGGGCGUAAAGAGCGCGCAGGCGGUCGUUCAAGUCGAGUGUGAAAGCCCCCGGCUCAACUGGGGAGGGUCAUGCGAUACUGAUCGACUCGAAGGCAGGAGAGGGUAGUGGAAUUCCCGGUGUAGUGGUGAAAUGCGUAGAUAUCGGGAGGAACACCAGUGGCGAAGGCGACUACCUGGCCUGUUCUUGACGCUGAGGCGCGAAAGCUAGGGGAGCAAACGGG